CGAUCUCCUGGCUCAGAACGAACGUUGGCGGCGUGGAUGAGGCAUGCAAGUCGAACGUGAAAACCCUCGGGUGAGUAGCGUGGCGGACGGGCGAGUAACACGUAAUCAAGCUACCUGCUAGACGGGGAUAACUUCGGGAAACCGAUCGUAAGACCCGAUAGUCUCACGACAUCGCAUGGUGAUGUGAGUAAAUGGGCGGGAUCCUUCGGGACCGCCUGCUAGCAGAGGUGAUUGCGGCCCAUCAGUUUGUUGGUAGGGUAACGGCCUACCAAGACUACGACGGGUAGCCGGCCUAAGAGGGUGGCCGGUCGCACUGGGACUGAGACACUGCCCAGACUCCUACGGGAGGCUGCAGUCGAGAAUCUUCCGCAAUGGACGAAAGUCUGACGGAGCGACGCCGCGUGCGGGAUGAAGGCCUUCGGGUUGUAAACCGCUGUCAUAGGGGAGGAAAUUUUGACCGAUCCUAAGAGGAAGCACAGGCUAAGUUCGUGCCAGCAGCCGCGGUAAUACGAACUGUGCGAACGUUAUUCGGAAUCACUGGGCUUAAAGGGUGCGUAGGCGGCUACAAAGGUCAGAUGUGAAAUCCCACGGCUCAACCGUGGAACUGCGUCUGAAACCAUGUAGCUUGAGGAAGUCAGAGGUAAGCGGAACUGAUGGUGGAGCGGUGAAAUGCGUUGAUAUCAUCAGGAACACCGGUGGCGAAAGCGGCUUACUGGGACUUUUCUGACGCUGAGGCACGAAAGCUAGGGGAGCGAACGGGAUUAGAUACCCCGGUAGUCCUAGCUGUAAACGAUCUGUACUAGUCUGUGGGGGCUUCCACACCCUCUCGGACGUAGCGAAAGUGUUAAGUACAGCGCCUGGGGAGUAUGGUCGCAAGGCUGAAACUCAAAGGAAUUGACGGGGGCUCAC
rnacentral:rRNA from 1 species